rnacentral:rRNA from 1 species
UACGGGGGGGGCAAGCGUUGUUCGGAAUUACUGGGCGUAAAGGGCUCGUAGGUGGCCAACUAAGUCAGACGUGAAAUCCCUCGGCUUAACCGGGGAACUGCGUCUGAUACUGGAUGGCUUGAGUUUGGGAGAGGGAUGCGGAAUUCCAGGUGUAGCGGUGAAAUGCGUAGAUAUCAGGAGGAACACCGGUGGCGAAGGCGGUGGUCUGGGCCGGAACUGACGCUGAGGAGCGAAAGCGUGGGGAGCGAACAGG